rnacentral:rRNA from 1 species
UACGGAGGAUCCAAGCGUUAUCCGGAUUUAUUGGGUUUAAAGGGUGCGUAGGCGGACUGUCAAGUCAGCGGUGAAAGUCCAUGGCUCAACCAUGGAAUUGCCGUUGAAACUGUCAGUCUUGAGUGUAGAUGAGGUAGGCGGAAUUCGUAGUGUAGCGGUGAAAUGCUUAGAUAUUACGAAGAACUCCAAUUGCGUAGGCAGCUUACCAGGCUACAACUGACGCUGAGGCACGAAGGUGCGGGGAUCAAACAGG